GAUAAACUUAAAAUAAACCUUUUUACUCUAAACUUUUAAAAUUAGGAUUCAUCAGGACUUAGUGCUGCAGAAAGACAUAUGUGUCCAAAAAAUGUACAUAAGCCCAAGGUACUUUGGAAGGAUAUUCUAACAGGACGAUGGAAAGGUCCUGACCCAGUAAUUGUCUGGAGUCCGGGGUCUGUUUGUGUGUUUCCACAAGGAGAACAGCAGCAGAUUUGGAUUCCAGAGAGAUUAACUAAGGUCCUGACCCAGUGAUUGUCUGGAGUCGAGGGUCUGUUUGUGUGUUUCCACAGGGAGAACAGCAGCCAAUUUGGAUUCCAGAGAGAUUAACUAAAGCAAUUCCUACAGAGCAAAAACAAGAUGAUUUGGCUCAAAUCCAUAACAGCUGA
rnacentral:lncRNA from 1 species